AGAGGAAAAGGGGCGGGAACCUAAACAGGCUCUCUAGCCUGCAGGGAAGGGCCAACAACGCCUGUGCCCCGUGGCGGUGUUACACUUAGUCUCCCGUGCUAGUCUUCCGUGCUAGGACCCUAUGUUUCGUGGUUCCGGCAUAGGUCAGAAGGAAAUUAUAUUUUGGCACUGGAGAAGAAAUGUGAGUUUGUACAUUUAAAGAGUGCAGAGCCUAGAAAAUAGUGAUCACAAUAUUUACUGUAGAAAACUGGAGGGAUUUGGAAUGACAUUAUCCUUUCUUGCCUCAAUUCUCUUUGUUGGACCUUUGCUGCACAACUCAGAUUUCAGGUAACUAUGCUUAUUGUUUCUGACUUUAAUGAAGCAAUAUUGAUUAUAUGAUAGUGUGCCUAUGUCCACCCUUAAGAAUUUUAACCAGCUUCUGUAAUAUAUUAUGUGUUAAAGGGAAAAAACACAUUAGGCACAGAUUCUUCUUUUUUUUAAAAUUAAUUUUAUUUAAAUCCAAGUUAGUUAACAUAUAGUGUAAUAAUAGUUUCACGAUGGGAUGCCUGGGUGGCUCAGUUGGUUAAGCGUCAGACUUUGGUUCGGGUUAUGAUCUCAUUGUUUG